UACGUAGGGUGCGAGCGUUAAUCGGAAUUACUGGGCGUAAAGCGUGCGCAGGCGGUCUGUUAAGACCGAUGUGAAAUCCCCGGGCUUAACCUGGGAACUGCAUUGGUGACUGGCAGGCUUUGAGUGUGGCAGAGGGAGGUAGAAUUCCACGUGUAGCAGUGAAAUGCGUAGAGAUGUGGAGGAAUACCGAUGGCGAAGGCAGCCUCCUGGGCCAACACUGACGCUCAUGCACGAAAGCGUGGGGAUCAAACAGG
rnacentral:rRNA from 1 species